UACGUAGGGAGCAAGCGUUGUCCGGAAUCAUUGGGCGUAAAGAGCUCGUAGGCGGCUUGUCACGUCGGAUGUGAAAGCCCGGGGCUUAACCCCGGGUCUGCAUUCGAUACGGGCUAGCUAGAGUGUGGUAGGGGAGAUCGGAAUUCCUGGUGUAGCGGUGAAAUGCGCAGAUAUCAGGAGGAACACCGGUGGCGAAGGCGGAUCUCUGGGCCAUUACUGACGCUGAGGAGCGAAAGCGUGGGGAGCGAACAGG
rnacentral:rRNA from 1 species